rnacentral:lncRNA from 1 species
GCACGCCAGAUCUCUGGAGAGACAGGUGUGUGCGUGCAAAAACCACAAGACCUUGAGUCAACAAUGUGGUGGGAGCUGAAUCCUCCUUUUGCUCCUCCUGGGAUUGUGUGAGUAUGGGACACAUUUGGUGGGAUCCCCCAUUCAAGAUGGACUUUGAGUAAGUUGAAAGUCUGAUGACCAAAUCAACUCUAUGGGCAUUCAACCCUCUUGCGACUGAACCACAGACACUGGACAGUACAAACCCAUCCUCUUUAGGUUUACAGACUUGGGGGGAAAGGCUAAUGGAUUGGACUGGUUCAGCUGGUGUGAAGGUGAACAGUCCUCUGAGGGGGAGUGAGUAUGGAUAUAGGAAAGACAAAAGACUCAGAAACGAAGGUUAGAAAUUAGGAGGACUGUAGGUCUAUACCACACUAACCCUGAAUGUAUUUCUGAUAGCCUUUAUAUAUUUUACAGUAUCGUGGGAGACAAAGUCACAAGGUAGAAGAGAAAAUGGCUGAUGUACAUAGGAUAUUUAUUCCCAUCUAGAGGCCUCCCUGUUCCUUCCACCAAGAUUAAUAGAAUAUUCAGCCACUCACCUCGGGCUUCAAGUGUAUCCCCUCUUAUUGAUUCAAGAGUCAGCAGACAGGGAAACCUGCUAGCAGACUCUGAUCUGCCUUGACUCUACCUGACAGGAAAGCUUUUACAGAAGCAGGUCAAAAUGUCUCCUGACAUCUCCCCCUUUUUUAUUUUAUAAAAGCCAAAGCUGUCUCAGUGAUUGGUGCAGAAAGAGUGUGCCUGUCUUAGAUGUCUCAAAAACUGCGAAUCUUACCCAUCUGGAACAUGAAUUGGAACAUGAAUCCUGGCACUCAUGUCCUGUCUUAAGUUGAUCCACCUCUGAGGCAAUCUUACCCAUAUUUUACUAGCAGCCUCUGCAAUGGGGGAUGUUACCUAUUAGGUUACAGUUUUGAGACAAAUAAGAUGGAGACCUGCAUGGAUGUUCAAAAAGGAACGGAGGGCAAACUUAAUCACAAGUGGUAACAAGCGUAAUCCUAUAACCAUUAGAGUACCUAAGGCAAGUACUGAGAAGGCCAAAUGAGUAAAAGAAGUCAGAAAGUAUUGCCCUUCCCAGCCUUGAGCAGGCCGAAUAGACCUUGAGCAUUUGCCAUAUUGGACGAUAAAGACCUAGGUGGAGUCAUCUGCCUUGGUUGCUUAUGCAACUUCCUACAGGCACUUUGAAUAGACUGCCUGCUGACCUUGCUUUGCUCUGCUCUGAAACAAAGGAUGGGUCUGUGGGCUCUCCCUAUAUAAAUGAAGUGCAGAAUAUUAAACUUGGAGCCUUGAUCAGAACCUUGUCUUGGCUUGAUUCUUCUCACUGCCCCCUUCCCCAUCUCUUUCAUUUCCAGUGCCACCUUUCAGGUAAACCCAGUUUGUCCAUGGUCACUGGACAGCUAUAGGUGGCAUCCUAUAAUAAAAUGAGGGGCCUAAAAAUGUGUGUGUGUGGGGGAACCCCUCUGAGAAAUGCUGUCUUGGGUGGAGCUCCACAGAAAACAGAAAAAAAGUAACAGUAUCCUGCACAGUAAGCAAUGAACAGCAUUAAUGCUAGCGCUAAUUAUAUUUUUUGGAGGCUGUUGUUGCAGGAGGUGCAUUUGAGAGGGAUACAGGCUAGACCAAAGAGGUGUUGACCCAACGCCAACUUCACCUAUGGGCGACAGCACAAUUGCAUUUUUCCAUAGCCAAAAAGAGCUGCAUCAGUGAACCAAAUGCUCUGGAAUCUACCUGUCACUUUCAGCAUCCUGUGGAAAACACAAACAUGCCCUCUUCCCCAUAUGCGGCAACCUGGCCACAAAAUCCUGGAACAACUCAAUCUGGACCUUGCCCAAUUCCAGAAAAAUCCUCAGUCUGCCUCUCCGUAGAAGAUAGUUUAUACCAGGCUUUCUUAGUUUAACCUAAUCAUUAACUUGUGCAUAAACAGGACAUAAGAGAAAUGCAUCUGAAACGGAGUUGGAAGCGUCCCCUCUGCCGCCUAGCUUUUACAGGCCUGGAAGGUGCUACACAGGUUGCUGGGGUGAACUGUCAUCAACAGAUGCUAUUGGCUUCAGGAUGCUACCCUCCUGACCUGGCUGGCACACAAGCUGUGGCUACUGGUGUAACAGUGGCAUGACUGCUACAGAGGUAACCAACAACUUUCUGAUUGUAUUUGUGCCAGUUCCAUGGAAGAAAACUCACAUCCUGACAAUGAACCUGGUCAAAAGCUUGUGGCUGGAGAGGUUUGCAGGGCUAUGUAAGAUAUUUACAAGUUCAACAGUGACACAUUUCACAUUUCAACAAUCAACAGCAUUGAUCCGUUCAAUAAGACAAGAUAAUGGCUCACAUGCACCAGUACAUAUGAUCUUAAAUGUGCAUUUUGGUUUUUUUUUCUUCAGCUCUGAAACAAACAAACAAAAAAAGAUUUUUCACUAGUCCUAAGUUGAAAGGACAUCUCUUAAUAAAGAUCAUACUUCU